UCUAUUCCUCGUAAAUGUCAAACCGAGUUUACGCACACCUAAAAGAAGGAAUCUUUCUUUUGAAUCCUAUACACCCAUAUUACAAAAUGUGUCAAACUUCCAAUAACACAUCCAAAAAAGUUCAAUUUUCAAGAGUCACAAACAAGAAACAGAAGCAGCCGACCUUGGAAAAGUAGAUGCAUUAGAGAAAUGAUAAAGGUGGAAAUAUAACAUUACAUUCAUACAUAUAAUAUCAGACCAGUCUUUUUUUGACUCUACAGUUCUACUUUUGACUAUGUAAUGAAUUGGGAAGCAGUAAAUCUGUAAAGCAUUGAUGUGGUGGACCGACCCAUUUGUUUCCCCAUGUGCAGAAAGCCUUUUGCAACUAAAAGAUGAAAACAAUCAACAAACACGUCUUAAAAGUCCUUGCACAUCAUCCACAGAAUUUUUUUAAAGUAGUCACAUAGCCCCUCAAGAACUAGAAGCAAAAUAGUGUGUGUGUGUGUGUG
rnacentral:misc_RNA from 1 species